rnacentral:lncRNA from 1 species
GGAGGAAUCUGCUUGGCUGGUAGAGCACCAUCCCUGUGUGCACAGGACAUGGAGAAAGCAUUUCCUUAUGGGAAGAGCUGUCCCAAACACCUACAGGAACACAUAUUGGAACAAAGUGAAGCAGCAGCGUGCUGGGAAUGUUGGAAAACAGAGCAGCCUGGCAGAGUGACACCGGAGGAUGCUCUGUGAGCACGACGGGAAGACGCCUGUUCUGUCAGGGCUUCUGCGGAGGGGGUUGCACCUUCUCUCCCUCUGCAUUCCAAGGGCAUUUGGACAAAGAUGGGUUUUUUCCUCCCUGUUCUCUGCUGACAGCUGCAGUUUCCUGCCUUCGAGCUCAGGCACUGACCCUGGGGGUGAGAGCUGCAGCAGCAGCCACGGAUCCCCCGGGCCAGGGAUGCACGCGUGGGGCAUGGAUGUUGUCCUGCCCUUCAUGACAAAACCAGGAGCAGCAGCCAACCAGCUCCUGCCUCUGGAAUUCUGCUGUCAGCUGCAGUAUCCCUCCGGAAGCGGAUUUUCUUCUCUCCUGAUUUCUGUCUUGCUGGGUUUUUUAAACGGGCUGUCAGACGCGGAACUUCUUCCCAGGCAAUUUGUUGAAGUGCUGCAGCAUCGUUACCUAUCAAAACAAGACCAAAUCAACAGGCAUUUUCUUCUGGCAGAUUUCUACAAGGGGACCUGGAGCUGGGGAAUGAAGAAACCUCUUAUGUUGCCACAUAUUAGCAGGACCUUGAGCGCUGACACAAAGGGAAUAUAA